AAAGUGUGGACCUGGGAGAGAUCAUGUUUUCGCUUUGUUACCUGCCAACUGCAGGUCGCCUCACUCUAACAGUCAUUAAAUGCAGGAAUCUCAAAGCAAUGGACAUAACUGGAUACUCAGAUCCGUACGUCAAAGUAUCCUUGCUCUGUGAUGGAAGGAGAUUAAAAAAGAAGAAAACCACUAUAAAAAGAAAUACACUUAAUCCUACCUAUAAUGAGGCAAUAAUUUUUGAUAUCCCUCCUGAGAACAUGGAUCAAGUCAGUCUGCUUAUAUCAGUUAUGGAUUAUGACCGGGUUGGCCACAAUGAGAUUAUUGGGGUUUGUCGUGUAGCAAACAAUGCUGAAGGACUAGGCCGAGACCACUGGAAUGAAAUGUUGGCUUAUCCACGUAAACCAAUUGCACAUUGGCAUCCACUCGUAGAAGUGAAGAAAUCCUUCAAGGAGUGGCAUGGCCGUGCAGCCAGCUUUGAUAGUCAAGGUUCCUGCCCCUCUCCCAAACCAUCUUCAACACCAUGAUCCAACAAGUGGUGAAUAUUGGGCCUCGACCAAAUUCUUUUUCUUUUGCUCUGAUAUUUUCUUUAUGGGUUCUGAAUUCUGAUUCAACCUAUUGCUGAAUAACAGAAGACUGGCAAUCAGACAUUCCUUGUUUCUACAGUGAAAAAGGCACCAAAUCCUUUUAUAGUGGUGUUUGUCUUUUUAUUUCUAUCUCUCAAGGUGACGUACUUUGUGCUUUUCAUUUUUUGGAUAUGGCUGCUAAGAAGAAAAGAAAAGAAAAGAAAAGAAAAGAAAAAAAAAGAAAAGAAAAGGCAUAGGCUGGAACUCUGGCCUAUAAAAUAACAUGUAAAAUAUUAUUUGUGUGUAUGUAAAGGGACAAAUUAUUAAUUGAGAGCUGUUGUACUUCUGCACAUCAGCAUGCAGAUUUAAAAGAGACAGCAAAAUGAAAAAUGAGAAGGCCUUGAUGAGGCUCCUUGUGACAUGUGAACACCCUUUUGUUAUUGUGAUCAGUGAGACAUUACAGCUUUUCUUAUUCAUGCUGUGAUGUUCAUGGAAUCUGUGAAAUACAGCCCAGCCUGUCCUUCCAUGUAUUUUAAAAAAAUGCUAAUUCCUCAGGGAGAAAUUAUCCAUUUUUUGUAGUUGUGUUCUUGAAAGAGCCUUUUGCAUGAAUUCAGCUGCUUCAGGUCCUGUGAAGUCCUGCACUGAUUACAGAAAUGAACUUUGUCUCAGGAGACAACUAAAAGAACAUCUUUCAGUUCCUUACGGAGGUUCUCAGAGUGACAGGAAUUGGCUAUUUGAUCUUGGCUCAGAAACUAGGUGAGCCUGGGCCUUACUAGCAUUUGGUUGAGAGACUACCAUGGGAUACCAGGGCUGUACAUAUCUGAGUGAAACAACAUUGAACCAUUUGUAUAGUGUUGAACUACGUGGACACAAUUAUCAAGUCACAAGGAGCUGAAGCAAGUUUUAUUUUCACAAUAGUAAUGGAAGUAUAUGCUAAAGGCCCACCCCAUCCCAAAUCUUCAAGACUUAAAUUAAGCAAGCACCAACAUGAACUCAUGAAAUGAACAUUUUUUUUAAAAAUGGAGAGAAAAAUACUCCAAAGCUCUGUAAAACAAUACUUUCAAUGUCAUUUUGCUGUUAUUGUUACUAUUUAUAAAGAACUGGUGUCUUCAAAAAGUAAAUUUGUUUAAAAAUGAACAAAGUUCUAGGAUAUGCAAUAUAAUACAAGAUCUCUCAAAUAACUUUGAUUAAAUCACUACCCCUGGUAAUGAAUGAAAUUCAACAAUAUCAUAGAAAGAAGCUUUUAUUUCUCUGUUUACAAGGAAGAAAACAAUCCAAUCUAUCAAAGUGAUAGAGCUUAUUUUCUUAUUGAAUGUAUAUUACAAACUUUUAUACCAAACUUGCAAAGAGAACAAAUGAUUUUCUAGCUGAAUUAAUACAUCCUUAGAUUGGAUUUGUCCCAAAGAGUUGCAUGAGAGACAAUAUCAUAUACCUUGUGAAUGUUGUGAUAAUAUAAAUUAGAACAAGAGAAAUGGACCUUUGUUAAUGCAGAAAAAGUUUUUGAUUAUUUCAAGUGGGCUUCCAUACUUGAAGCUUUGAAGAAGAUAUUUUUUACAUAAAUACAGAGUAUUUAUAAAGAAUAAGGUCUUAAUGUUAAUGGUUUUUUUAAUCACAAAAAACUACCCUAAUGAAAGGAACAAAAGACACUUGUUGCCUGCCUCCUUCAUUAUUCAUAAUGGCAUAGCAAAGAAGAUAUACCAAGAAUUUUCAGGAAUUAAAUGCUGCUCAAUAACAUAAACUAAAAUUAAAUGCUCUUGAUGGGGUACUUAACUAAACUAAAGGACACUUUAGAAUUGAUGAUGGAAUAUAUAUAACAGCAUAAUUUGAUUCCAUGUUUUUGGAUCAAUAAAAUUCAAAUGCUGAUACAGCUUUUGAAAAACAUCAUUUGUUCCAAAUAAUUAGUUUUAAUUUCACUUCAAAAAAUGAUAAAAUCUGGCAAUUUACAUGACAAAUAUAAGUAUAUUUAAAAGUAAUGUAUAUACUUGUAAAUAAGCCCAUCUGCAGAUAACUCUCAAAUUUUUAAUCAAUAUGCCAUGCAAAAUGCAACACCCACAGAUUAACUGACCAUCAAUGUUUGUAUGUUUGCAUUUUUGCAAUUGGCUUUUCCAUGGGUGAAACAUAUUUUCAUGGUAUUUUCAUUACAAAUUUGAGGGUUGGCUUAUACAUGACUGAGUACUUAAAACAAAUAUUACAGUAUUUGUAAUACUGUACAGUAUUGCAGCAGAUAACUCAAACCUAAUUUGUGGGGUGUGUUUUGCACCUAAAAUUCUUGAUUUAUCUUUGGGUAAAUACAGUAAUUAUUCGCACAUCUAUAAAAAUAUAAUGGCACAUUUUUUUUAAAGACCAAGUUUUGAGAUUACUAUCUUUCUUAGGAAGAAUUGUAGCUGUUGACAUGAAUAUUCUAUUCAAUCUAAAUGUUCAAUUGCAAAUGACUUUAACAAAAAUUGAAAACAAGUUAUUAAACAUAACAUAGACAAAUAAAGAGAGCCAGUUUGGCGCAGUGGUUAAAGCACCUGGCUAGAAAACAAGAAACCUUAAAUUUUAGUCCUCCCUUGGUUACAAAACUAGCUGAGCAACUUUGGGUCAGUCUCUCUCUCUUAGCCCUAGGAAGGAAACCACUUCCAAAAUACAGCACCAAGAAAAAUCUAGGGACAAUCUAUAAAUUAUUAGUGACUCUGAAUAAGUUAAAAGUUAUAUAAUUAAAUGGAUUUACAAUUUAAAUACAAUGACUGAUAUGCAACAAUGAGAAUUUUAGUCAGAGAAAAAUGUGACAUUCACACCCAAUAUUAUGCUUAAAGAAAACUGGUAUAAGAUGUCUUAUCGCUGGUAUGUUGACUGCUCAAAUGAUUAAUUCAUUCUCUAAACAUGGUUGAAAUGUAAUGCUUAGAUUGUGACAUUUUUCCAUAUUUGAUGGUAAUGUUGUAAAGUUUUACAAUGUUGGAAAAUGAUUUAUAAAGAAUGAAACCAUUUAAAAAGCCGAGCUUCCUUCCAACUGAUUUCUGAUUGAAUGCUUUAUUACUAAACCUUGCCUUCCCACAAAGUAUAUUGAGUACGCCUAUUUAUGAUAACUGCUGCAAGGAUACUCUACCCUUCCAACUGGAAAGUGUUC